GGGGCCGUAGCUCAGUUGGUUAGAGCGCGUCAUUCACAUUGACGAGGUCGAUGGUUCGAGCCCAUUCGGCCCCA
rnacentral:tRNA from 1 species